rnacentral:rRNA from 1 species
ACGAAGCGUUUACACGGAUUUCCUUCGGGCAUUAAGGGUUUAUGACUGAGUGGCGGACGGGUGAGUAACGCGUGGGCAACCUGCCCCGUACCGGGGGACAACAGCCGGAAACGGCUGCUAAUACCGUAUACGUUUUAAGGACCGCAUGGUCCUUAAAACAAAACUCCGGUGGUACGGGAUGGGCCCGCGUCUGAUUAGCUCGUUGGCGGGGUAACGGCCCACCAAGGCGACGAUCAGUAGCCGGCCUGAGAGGGCGGCCGGCCACAUUGGGACUGAGACACGGCCCAGACUCCUGCGGGAGGCAGCAGUGGGGAAUAUUGCACAAUGGGGGAAACCCUGAUGCAGCGACGCCGCGUGAGCGAGGAAGUACCUCGGUACCUAAAGCUCUGUCAGCAGGGAAGAAAAUGACAGUACCUGACCAAGAAGCCCCGGCUAACUACGUGCCAGCAGCCGCGGUAAUACGUAGGGGGCAAGCGUUAUCCGGAUUCACUGGGCGUAAAGGGAGCGCAGGCGGCACGGCAAGUCUGAUGUGAAAACCCGGGGCUCAACCCCGGGACUGCAUUGGAAACUGCCGGGCUGGAGUGUCGGAGGGGUAAGCGGAAUUCCUGGUGUAGCGGUGAA